rnacentral:lncRNA from 1 species
AAUUUACCAGCCAGCGCUGGUGCAUUCGACCUCUGCGCAACGAGAUACAAUUGGUGAGCGCCGCUCUUGUUGGGCUCUGGCCAGCUCUUCGGGCAGCCGGGGGUGUCUGUCGGGAGCCCCCCGGCCGGUUCCCGGGAGGGAUGCACGGGAGGAGUCCCGGGGUCCCGGGGGACUCCUCGGCCGCUCUCCGUGGUGCUGCAGCCGCCGCCCGCGGUGCCUCCUGCGGGAGGGCAGGAUCCCCUUCCCCGGGAGCACGGCCGGCCGUGCCGCUAACUCCUCCCUUCGGAUGCAAGGGCUGCACCGCCACAAGCCAUCCUCUCGCCGCCCCCCUCCUUCUCCUUUCUCCCGUUUCGACAGAGCGAGCGGGCUUGCUCUGCCUGCGCGGCGGCGGCUGCCCACCGCGGACCCCGUGGGCUUGGGGCGGGUGCUUUAAUUUUGGCAGGACCUGCCCGCCGCCCUUCCCGGAUAAACUUGGGCCGGCGCCCCCCGGCACCGCGUUUUGGGGCUGGUGGGCUCCCGGCUGCCUGCGGGGAUGCCCAGCAUCCAAUAAUGCAAUGGCUGGAAGACCACAACGUGUCAGAUUAACUGGGUGGACACAUUGGAUAUUAGCAACAAUUCUGCUGCUGUGGAGUUACCAGAUCAGUGGACAAGAUGGCAUCCAAGCUUGGUAACAGAAGGUACAAGGGAUUAAUAUUUCGCUGCAAAACAACAGUUUGAGCAGGUUGGUUCCAUCACAUGGGUUUGAUGCCUGUGAUUUCACCUGCAGCUGGACAUAGUAUAAGAGCAUAGUGAUCUUCUGACUGCAGUUGUGUUGUUUGGUCCGUUGCGGAACACCUUGUCCUCAAGUGCCCAGCACAGGGGGUGUAUGUUGCUGGGCAUGUAUGCAGAGGAAAAGAGAGAAAAACAUGGAACAAACCAAGCUUUGAGACAAUGCUGACAAGACUGUGGCUUGGCUUGUGCCCACGACACUUGCAUCAGGAAAAGCUGGCCAAAGGGCAGCAGAGGAAGACAACCAUGAAGUAAUGACCCUCGUGGAACUGGUGCAGCCCCCAGCUCAGAAGGGGCACAUACAUGCACGUUUUUAGACAUGUUACCAAGGAGGAGCCCAGUGGCCUUUAUGACAUGUGUCGGUCCCAUGUGUCAGAAUAGCUACCAGGUCAGAGGGGAUAAAACUGGGACACCCCAGAGGAGAGGGAGACACACUACUGAGGACAACGUUGCCUCAACAAGGACGCCUGUUUAAGCAGUGUGCCUGCUGACUCCUUCCUCCUGGAAAACAAUGACUGGGGAAAGCACUGCACUUCCUUGUUGGUACCCUUGUCAUCGCCCUGGGGUCAGUAUAGAAUCAUGUAUGGAAGUAGCUCACAAUAUCAUGUGACUAUCAAGUCAUGAUUGCUGAAGUUGAGGAGUAUAUAACUGGCAUGGAUAUAGUCCAAAGAGGUGUACUAGAAAUAGGGUGCACCUUUUGGGCAUGUGGCACCACACGGUGGCUACACGUCCAAGCAGUUCAAGUAGGGAAGGCAUUUGAGGAGGCUCACAUUCUGGUUGCUGCUGAGGUAGUUGUGCAAAGCCAGUACAAAAUUCCAGGAGGAGAUGAGGUUACACAGCCUGAAACGUGGCUUGUUAUGGAAGGAGACAAUGGCAGUAGUCAGCUGGCAGAGUUGAUCGUGACUUGGCAGGUAAUUACUGCUACCCCAACCACAUUUGCUAUUUAAACACAG